UCUGCCAUGAGGGGCAGGGAAGGAAAAUGACGUUAUGAAAAUGGAGACUUAAACACCUACUUGAAAACCAACCCAGUGCAGCUGAACUGAAGAUUUCCAUAACCUUAAGUUAUGCCAGCCUUAACACAGGAGGUUAAGGUGUUGACACAGAAAUUCUGCAAGGAUUACACAAGCACAUCAAUAAAGUCUGUCUUUACAGAGCAGCAGUAACUGGAUCCUGAGCCUGACCCAGAUUAAAAGAGA
rnacentral:lncRNA from 1 species